CGACAACCACCGCGACUUGUGGCGAAGCAACUCACGUGCAGCUGCCGUUAGGGAGGGGGCGUUGGCUGAGGGACGAAGGUGACAAGUCGAGCCGAAGCGCACGCACGCCGACACCCUGUUUCAGUCGAGUACGCACUACACAGUAUGAAUUCAGCCAUUGCAAGCAUACGCAUGGCGCUGCCUUCUCCCACCUCCUCCGCAUCCGCGCCGCCCAGCUCGCGCGACAAGGCCAGCUACUGCCUGCAGCAAGCGCAGGCCGCGAAGGCGGCUGGUAACGCCGCGCUGCAAGCCGGCAAUCCACGCGGUGCCUCCUUCGAGUACAAAAAGGUGUACCUCUACCUCGCCGAAUACCUUCCAUCGGAUGUGGCUCAGUCAGCUUCCUCUGUUGCUCUGGGAUACAGCAAUGGCGGUGGCAGCAACGCUGACGGCAACAGCGGGCUCGUGCAGAUGCUGCAGCAACAGCAACGUCGCAAGCAACCAAAGAAUGUGGCGGCAGCAGCGGUGACUGGUCACGAAUCGUCAGCGUCGCCAUCAACGGCGGAGGAAGCAGCGCUGCUCAAGCUGCAGGAGGAGAUGACGCAGCUGUACGCCACCACACUCAACAAUCUCGCGCUGGCCCAUAUGAAGCUGGGGCGUUACCAAGAGGGGGUGAAGUGCGCGACUGCCGUGCUGGAGCAACCGGCGCUGCGAGCCGCUCUCGAUGCCGGCGCGGAGCAGUGCACCUCCGCUCGCUUCAGCGACACCCCGGCUGGCAAGGCACUGCUGCGUCGCGCCGCCUGCUACGUCAAGCUCUCCGACUGGGCUCUCGCCGAGGCGGAUAUUCGCACGUUGAGAAGGGCAACACCAGAAGGAGCUCCUGCGGCCAGCGGUGGCGAUGCCCUUGAUACGGCGGUGGUGCAGUUGACGCAAGCGGUGGAGCAAGGUCGUAAGGCAGAGGCCGCGAAGGAGAAGAAAAUGAUGCGGCUCAUGUUCGCGUAGCGAACGAAGGGUGGCGGUGCAGGGCGAGGGGGGAGGGGGCAUGAAGACGCCCACCCAGGCAACGGAUGCGCCUCAAAGGGGGCGCGGGGGCCCUCCCCGGAAGUCGUUUUCCGUUCCAUCACGCGCACCACCACC
rnacentral:misc_RNA from 1 species